rnacentral:snoRNA from 1 species
CUGUGAAUAUUCUCACUGUUCUGAUUUUGUAAUUAGGGCAGGCCAAAUGUUUACUAUGUUAAGACCCUGCCCCCAGAUCUAGUUCUUUACCUAGGUCUAGUUUUAUAAAUGCUGGUGAUUAAA